rnacentral:rRNA from 1 species
GAUGAACGCUGGCGGCGUGCCUAAUACAUGCAAGUCGAGCGAACGGAUGAGAAGCUUGCUUCUCUGAUGUUAGCGGCGGACGGGUGAGUAACACGUGGAUAACCUACCUAUAAGACUGGGAUAACUUCGGGAAACCGGAGCUAAUACCGGAUAAUAUUUUGAACCGCAUGGUUCAAAAGUGAAAGACGGUCUUGCUGUCACUUAUAGAUGGAUCCGCGCUGCAUUAGCUAGUUGGUAAGGUAACGGCUUACCAAGGCAACGAUGCAUAGCCGACCUGAGAGGGUGAGCGGCCACACUGGAACUGAGACACGGUCCAGACUCCUACGGGAGGCAGCAGUAGGGAAUCUUCCGCAAUGGGCGAAAGCCUGACGGAGCAACGCCGCGUGAGUGAUGAAGGUCUUCGGAUCGUAAAACUCUGUUAUUAGGGAAGAACAUAUGUGUAAGUAACUGUGCACAUCUUGACGGUACCUAAUCAGAAAGCCACGGCUAACUACGUG